rnacentral:lncRNA from 1 species
AAAAGAAUAUUUAAAGAAGAAUGUAUCUUUUGAGGAAAAGCCUUAAAUAUUCAAUCUCCUUGCAUUCUGCAUCUUUUUCAAAAGUCACUUACAUUUGAUGCAUACUUUGAAUGUUUUAUGUUUGAUUCAUAAUCAUUCUUGUCAAUUUCUAAAUUUAACCGCUUUACUUACAAAGCAUGAAUUAAUAUCAAGAGCCUUACAUAAAUGAAAGAGAAAUGAAUUUUCUUAAAGCUAAAUCAUUAAAGGUUACUCUAUGUAAAUUUGGCAAAGAACUUUUAGUAUGUUUUUAAUGUCUAACUGAUCUAAAACUGAUAUCAAUUUAAGCAUAUUUUGGUAUUAGACUUUG